AGUUUUGCUGGCUUUGCAGUCAGU
rnacentral:miRNA from 17 species